GAUGUUUUCUUGCAAGGAUAUCCUCCCGUUUGAAAUUAUUAUAUUGCGUAUUAUUAAAACAAGUCGGUUCCAUUUUGAAUUUUUAAAUUUAUUUCAAAUUUAUCUGCUUUAUCUUAUUUCGAUUUGUGUUUUUGCACGGUCGACCGCUUCGAUUUCAUUAUUUUUUCUUAGUAUCCUGGUGUGUUUUUGGGCUAUAAUUAUUUUACUGCAUAAUGCAUGAUGCAUUCGCGGCGCGGGAUGUGUGAUCAUAUACAAUUUGAUGUAUUAUAUAAUAAUAACUUUUGCCUAUCAACUAAACCUAAGCGUAAUUUCAGAAAUAUUCCUUCAAAUUAUAGAUGUGUACAGUUAUAUAAAUUACAGUAUGCCUGCGCAUAGGGCAUCUGGCGUCUCUGCGAAGCACCUGGGACCUGGGGCCAUAGGACGAGGGCUAAGGAUUGCGGAUGCGGAUUGACGGUUGUGGGCCGGAGUAUUGCUAGCUAGCGAUUCUAGUAGUUCCUUUGAGCAAACAAGUUUAACAAAUUUCGAAUAAUAAAUAACAAAGCAUUAACAAGUCACGAGUCACCAUCUUCCUCCGAAAACUGGGGGAAACGGUUCGGAUCGAUGCGGUGGCGAUUGCGGUUGCGCGUUAAAUUUAGAUGUUAAAAUAAAUAAAUUAGUAGGUGUAAGAUCUGAUUGGGACUGGGACUGGGACAAGGACUGGGUCAUGGGCUUGGACACGGGCGAGGGAGUGCGAACGCAUCGUCUAAGCUAAUUUACAAUUACAUUCAGUUCAGUCGUCGCUAGUUUGGCAGCUGAGGUGGCCGUGGUCUCGACGUGCUCCUGAUCCCGGUCCUCGACCAGGACCGAGGUGGUGUCACUGGUGGCGCCGCCUCCGCUGCGACGCCUCCUCCUGCUUCUCGUAUCCUUAUUCUCUUCGUUUGUGUAUCUCGUUUUCGGCUUCCGCUGCGCUCC